UGUUGUAAGAAAAUUUAAUAUUUUAUUAGAUUACAUUGAAAAAACAUCUUUUAGUUUGAAUGACAAAGAAGAACGAAAUGAAGAAAAUUAAAAAGUAAUUUUUUCCUCACAAGCAGGAAAACAUAAAUUAUUGUUCCAUUACAAAAAGUUCAAUUGAAUCUACAGCAUAUCAUUAGUGCUCGAUCCUUGAAUCUAAUCUAUUGGCUUAAAACAGACUCCUUGGGGACGAGAAAUGAAAAAAGAAAGCUGGAAAAAUAAGAAAUAAAAAUUCGUGUCAGCUUUAGAAGGCUGUUCCCAAAUUUAACCACAAUGCCGAGCCUCUAACUAAAAAAUAGUUAAUAACACAAUUUUCAUGCUUAUCACCCGGAUCGUAACAGUUAAUGUUUAUUUUAAAAAAUUUUUAAUAAUAUUCAAUUAAAAAUAUACAAACAAUGGACGUUUCGCCGCUUUAUACGCGACCUUAUCAGGAUUGAAAAACAAGCGUGAAAAAAUUAACCGAAGUUUAUUUCAGGUUCAAUGAAAAAUUUAGUUUUUCUUCUUUUUGAAAAAUUUUUUCAUGCAAGCAAACACAAGAAAUCGAUCAAUAUUUAAAUGUUAAUAGAGAAAAUCCAAAUACGGAUAUAUUGGAUUGGUGGAAAAAUCACUAAAAAAAAUAUCCAGUUUUAGCUUUAGUAGCCAGAGAUAUAUUAUCCAUUCAGACAAGGUCUGUCCCAGUAAAAAGGCUUUUUUUCAGAGAUGUGGAUGACGGUGACGAGUAUCAUGGUGACCGGGAGAUAGAAAUGAUGGUGCCAAUGUGAUGGGAAUCGUGGCAUCGAAGUGACGGAACUCAUAGGGUCGAGGUGACAAGGAUCAUGGUGGCGAGGUGACGGGAAUCAUGGUACCCAGGUGACGAAGAUCGUUUGGACGUCAUACCGUUGAAGAGGACUUGCAAGAGUCGAUGGUGCAAAACUUCUUUAGUCCAUCGACGUCUCUUCGUUUUGGUAGGAGAAAGUACGAAAAGAAUCAUGAGAAAUUCGACUUAUCUCCCAAUUAAUACGGCAAAAAUUCGUCAAAGUUUAUGCAGCUGCAGCAAUCGCCAGAAGUAUUAUAUUAGAGUUAAACAUGUAAAAGCUUGAUA